UUGAACUGCUGCCCCUGCGUAUCUGAGCACCACAGGGCUUUUUCCACAUUAAAAUGGAAGAUCUGUCUGCAGUGAUGUGAGCACAGCAGACAGGAGCAGAUACCUCUGUGGUCUACAACAAGGAAGUUUCGAAAUAAGGUCUCACCUGCAGACUUGUGAAGCCAGCAGAAAUGCACUGCAGGAAGGAUUCCAGUUUUAGAGUGCCUGAACCACCAGUGGAUGUUCCAGAGGUAUGGAUCUGGAACAACAAAAUAGAAACCUACAAAACUGUUACUGACAACUUUAUUCCAUGUACUCAAGAAAAGGAAACAUAUUCACCAACACAGUAGAAGAGGAUAUGCUGAGAAAAUCUGAGAAGAUUGUUUUCUUGUUAUUGAGUUGACCUUGUGCUUACCACAGUAAAAUUAGGCUCAAUACUUCAUCUUGCUCCUUCCAUGACUGCUUUUUUGUAAAAUGUCAAAACCCUCUCUACCUGAUCUGUAUGAGGAAAUUAAUGGUUCUUCCUACUGAUGUGUCUGCAAAAAACAUUGGGAGUGGCUGUCAACACCUUCUGUACAAAGCUGUCAGGGGUGCUGGCUAGAUGUGUAUCUGAAGGCUGUGACUGAAUGAACUUUGCUCAGUGCAGCUCCAGUGAUCAUGUAGUCUAAUAACAGCACUCUUUUACAGCAAAGUGCUGGGUUGUUUUUUUUUAAUAAGAGAUAAUAAAAUUACACUUAAUAAUAUGAUGCAGCAUAUGGAAUACAACUCUUGUUGCACUUAACAAAAUCUAAUUACUCCAGGAAGGGACGUUGAACUCGCUGAUUUCAGAACAUCUCAGAAAUUUACUUUUCAAAUACUAAAGAGUUUGAAAUCCAGCCUCUGACUUGGAUCAAUUCUUUUGUAUUGCUAAUAAGACCAGCUUUAUGAUGAUGUACUUGCAGGACCUCAGAUAAGCGUGACAAUGAACAAAGCAGACUUUGCAGCACUAAAAUGUCAGGCAGCUUGUUCGGCAGGUAUUUAUAUCUUCUGUCCUAGUAAAGGGAAAGGUGACAUUGUCUUUGAGAGGAUAAAAUUAGGUGCUAACUCCCCACAUUCUCUGAAAAGUUCUGCAACUGCACAUGCCAAUACCCUUUGAAGUAGAGUAGCAACAGCAAUACAGUGAAAAAGAAAAAGAAAAUAGAUAUCCAGACAUGGUUUGGACAAAAGUGUUUAGUAAGACAUACUGCCAAUGCCAAGAAUGUGGAGCUCUGGGAGACUGGGACAUUUUUUGUCAAUGGUGGGAAAGAGCUAAACCACUGUGGGUCUCAGGGAAAAAAGUUAUGUCAGGCCUUUGGGUCUCAAAAGUGCUUAAGAAAUCACUACUCCUGGUUUUUUUCCCCCUCUCUAGUACAUUCCCACCUUUUUUUUUUUCUAAGGUGACAGUUUUUAAGCCCACAUCCUUUCCUUACAGGUUAAAGAAAAAUUUCCCGUGCUUUAUUUAGCAUUUCCUUCCUCCUACCUCCUUCUAUGUACCUCCUUUACUUCCUUUACUCACAAUAAAGAAGUAAUAUUAUGGAGGUGUAAGAGGAUUUCUGGACUUAAUUCUAGCAGUGUUUUCAAAUCUCAUUCAUUGACAUAGUGCUUUCACAUUUAAGCACCUUGCUCAAGACAUUUGCAUAGAUACUGAAAAAGCUUAAUUCUCACUUUGGUUUAAAAGCAAGGCACCCAGUAAUGUAAAUAACAGACUGAAGAACGACGCCGGCCCAAAUAAAAAGAGAUUAAAGAUUCUAAAUAUUCUUUUGUUGACAAGAAGAACAUCUAAAAUAAUGACCUUUUUAAAACUGCUUUCUGAGGCUGAAUUUGGGUGAAGCUCUGUACAAUGUGGCCUAGCAGGAGGUGUCCUGGUCCAUGGCUGGGAUUUGGAACUCGAUAGUCUUUAAGGUCUCUUCCAACCCAGGCUAUUUAUUGAUUUCAUGAUCCCAUGACCUCAAGUAGAUGGAAACAUCUACUCUACAGGCUUCUUUCUCUUAUGAGCAGCAGCACUGAGAACAAAAUUAAAUUGCAAGUUGGAAGUUCAGGCUUCUCUCCAGGUUCCCAGCGCACCACAAGAUUUUGUUUUCUCUCGCAAAAAGUGCAAAAUAUAUUGAAGCAAGAGAGAUGAUAAACCUCCUGUCAGAACAGCUGGAGUCUCUGUACUAAAAAGGGUGGCUGCAUUCAACCUGCUUUUUGGGAGCAGUCCCAGCUCCUGCUGUCCCACCAGCUGUGUCCAGGCCUUGUCUAGAAGAGGGAUAGAAUCUGUGCCAAGGAGCAACCCAGCAAUUACCCAGUCCAAACCAGUUUAGUUUAAUAGUGUAAGUAUCACUGAAGUUUCCAGACAUACCUCAGCCAGUCCAAUGUGUUGCCUUCAAGCACACAAAAAUUGGAAAUACAUUGAGUGUUUUAUAAUUUCACCAACUGGAAAAUAAGAUUUCCAUCCCACAAAGCACUGGAGAUACUUCCCCCCAUCAGAAGCACGAGAACUGAGACAGGUCUAUGGAUAUUUCUUGUGCGAGUGCAAAGGAGACUGUAGUACAUGGUGACUAGUUUGGUUUGUGACCUGGCACAGUAGCCCAGCUAUGGGACCUCGCUAAGAUCCUGAUUGCACACUGGAACCACUGAAGAGUUAAAGAUCUUGUGAACUUUGUGCAAUAUUUGCCUAUGUUUCUCCCUGCUUACACCUGUCAUGAACAAAAUCUCUCAAGAAAUCCACCCCAGUUAAAACACUGUGUUUAAUUAUGUACAGUUAAUGUUCUUAUCCCAUUUGUGAACCUUGUACCCCUUGUUUACUCUGAUGGUUAUUAGUAAUGUUAAUUACUUAGCAGUUUCUGAAGUGUUUUAAGACUUGUUAUGAGACAUUCCUGUACCCUUUCCCUGACUUCCCUACCACGCUGUAACAAAAGCAACUCCUUAAGGGGCUAUGCCAUGGAACAAAGCAACUCCCAUGGGAGCUGUGCCACACUGGAACAAAACAACUCCCAGAGAGCUGUGCAACCGAAUAAUAUGUAAACUAAAGCAUGCAAGACACCAAAACAACGAGCUAACAGAGGAAUAAAAGGACAAGGAAACAUUCUAGCAAGCUAUGAUGAAAGAUCAUCUUCCUGCGUCACCUAAGCCUGCUCAGAAACCAUCUUCCUGCAUCACCAUGACCUAAAGAGGACUGGAAAGGACUGGCCACCCUAGACAAUGAGCCAGAAUAACAGGCCUCCUGGCUGCUCUCAUGAGGAUGGAAGCCCCAGCUCUGCAGUGUGUGCUGCAAAGCUGAAUUGUGCCUCCUCCUUGGAGCUGACAGUGUGGGAAUAGCUGUGGUGCCAGCAACUCCUCGGGCCCCCACCCCAAGAGCUGAAUUCUAAUAAAGGCAUAAA